rfam:Bacterium I07 isolate I07 NODE_22_length_12574_cov_1461.72, whole genome shotgun sequence.
AAGAGCGUAGUACGGGAAAUCCGUACGCUACGUUCUGUGGGGGUUGGGGUCACAAUCUGUGACCCCUUCUACCCGGU